CAACGAGCGCAACCCUUACGGUUAGUUGCCAGCGGGUAACGCCGGGCACUCUGGCCGAACUGCCGUUGAUAAACGGAGGAAGGUGGGGAUGACGUCAAAUCAUCAUGCCCUUUAUGCCCUGGGCUACACACGCGCUACAAUGGCCGGUCCAAAGGGCAGCGCACCCGCGAGGGGAAGCGAAUCCCAAAAAGCCGGUCUCAGUUCGGAUUGCAGGCUGCAACUCGCCUGCAUGAAGGCGGAAUCGCUAGUAAUCGCAGGUCAGCAUACUGCGGUGAAUACGUUCCCGGGCCUU
rnacentral:rRNA from 1 species